rnacentral:rRNA from 1 species
GUCCUUGCCGUAAACGAUGUAUACUUGAUGUAGUUAGGCUCAACCAUGACUGUGUCGAAGCUAACGCGAUAAGUAUACCGCCUGAGGAGUACGCUCGCAAGGUGAAACUCAAAAGAAUUGACGGGGGCCCCGCACAAGCAGUGGAGCAUGUGGUUUAAUUCGAUGCAACGCGAAGAACCUUACCCAGGCUCGAAAUGCAAAGGCAAUCAACAGAGAUGUUGAGUUUCGCAAGAACUUUUGUAUAGGUGCUGCAUGGCUGUCGU